rnacentral:lncRNA from 10 species
CUCUUCCCUCUACCUCUCUUCACCUCCCACCAACCCCAACCGCCCUUGGCUAAGUAGUUGGUUUGAAAAAGUUUGGAUUUCCUCACUGAGCUGGUCCCGCGGACAGCGGUUCUCGAGACUAGGGGACCGGGAAGGGGCGGCUGUCGAGCUCUGGCCGGGCCAGCGCUGAUGCGAGAGUUUCCGGGGAGUCCCGCCAGAUCCACUCCUGACCUCCUUCUAGAAGAAAGAAGGGGAGUGGAGAUUCGGAGCAUGCCAUCUCAUUAAGAAUUGUUCCCCAGUGAUAUUUCCUUUGCUGUUUCUCCCCCCACCCUAGGUGGAAUCCCAAGAACUGGUGAGGGGAACCUUAUGCCUCUCAAUUUCUAGAUGAUUGCAAAAACCAGAACUGUCCAGGUAUCAUGCAGUUUGGUUCAGGCUUUGAGGACAGCUCCAAGUUGUGGAAGGCAGGGACAGAUGGGAGCAAGCAAGUUGCAGAGUGACUUGAAACUGAACCCUUUUUUCCCCCGUGGAAAAACUUUUUAUUCACACAAGCAAUACAUUAGCUGCUUCACUCUUCAAAUUAUUUCAUUUUAUUUUUAGAGACAGGGUUCUCAUUCUCUCACCCAGGCUGGAGUUCAGUGGCAUGAUCACAUCUCACUGCAGCCUUGACCUACCGGGCUCAAGCAAUCCUCCUGCCUCCUACCACCCAAGUAGCUGGGAUCACAGGUGCAUGCCACUGCGCCUGGCUAUUUUUUUUUUUUUUAAUUUUUCAUGGAGACAGUAUCUCCCUAUGUUGCCCAGGCUGGUCUCGAAUUCCUGGGCUCCAGCAAUCCCCACCUUGGCCUCCCUAAGUGCUAGAAUUUUAGGUACAGGCCACCACACCUGCCCCUUCAAAAUGUUUAUAGCUUGCAUGCUACAUGUAAGACAUCCUGGGGGUACUGUGGGGGAAGAUACCAGGAAAUGAUGUCAAGAUUCAGUCUUGCACCUGGGCUAGCAAAACAUUGUAGCAGUUUUAGAAGGAAUAUUUCAUAAUCCUAUGUGGAUUAUCUGAAACUUUAGGGUAACUGUCAGAGGUUUUCUUUCUUUCUUUCUUUUCCUUUUCUUUUCUUUCUUUCUUUCUUUCUUUUUCUCUCUCUCUCUCCCUUCCUUCCUUCCUCCCUCCCUCUUUCUCUCUCCUCCUUCCUUUCUUUCUUUCUUCCUUUUUCUUUCUUUCUUUCUCUCUCUCUCUCUUUCUUUCUUUCUUUCUUUCCUUACUUUCUUUUCGACAGAGUCUUGCUCUGUUGCCCAGGCAGUGGUGCAAUCUCGGCUCACUGCAACCUCUGCCUCCCAGGUUCAAGCGAUUCUCCUGCUUCAGCCUCCCAAGCAGCUGGGACUACAGGCAUGUGCUACCACGCCCGGCUAAUUUUUUGUAUUUUUAGUAGAGACAGGAUUUCACCGUGUUAGCCAGGAUAGUCUCGAUCUCCUGACCUCGUGAUCCACCCUCCUGGGCCUUCCAAAGUGCUAGGAUUACAGGCGUAAGCCACUGAACCCAGCCUUUCUUUCUCUCUUUCUUUCUUUCUUUCUUUCUUUCUUUCUUUCUUUCUUUCUUUCUUUUUCUUUCUUAGGGUCUCUGUCACUCAUUUGGAAUGUAGUGGUGCAAUCAUGGCACACUGCAGCCUCGACCUUCUGGGCUCAGGUGAUCUUCCUGCCUCAGCCUCCCAAGUAGCUGGAGACUACAGGCACCACCACCAUGCCCGGCUAAUUUUUGUAUUUUUUGUAGAGACAGAGUUUUGCCAUGUUGUCCAGGUUGGUCUCAAACUCCUGGGCUCAAGCGAUCCACCCACCUCAGCCUCCCAAAAUGCUAGGAUUACAAGCGUGAGCCACUGUGCCUGGCCCUAGAGCUUCUUUCUUUUUAUUCACACAUGCCUCUCUUGGUUAUGCCUUUUCCUACUCAGAUGUGUUACUGGGGUUUGCUGGAACAAAUACCCAAAUGGAACUAUUAUAAAAAGAGUCCGCUGGGUGUGGUGGCUCAUGCCUAUAAUCCCAGCACUUUGAGAGGCUGAGGUGGGUGGAUCACUUUAGGCCAGGAGUUCAAGACCAGCCUGGCCAACAUGAUGAAACCCCAUCUCUACUAAAACAAUACAAAAUUAGCCCAGGUGUGGUGGCUCACACCUGUAAUCUCAGCACUUUGGGAGGUCGAGGUGGGUGGAUCACCUGAGGUCAGGAGUUCGAGACUAGCCUGACCAACAUAGUGAAACCCCAUCUCUACUAAAAAUACAAAAUUAGCUGGGCGUGGUGGCACAAGCCUGUAAUCCCAGCUACUUGGGAGGCUGAGGUAGGAGAAUCGCUUGAACCUGGGAGGUGGAGGUUGCAGUGAGUGAAGAUCGCACUAUUGCACUCCAGCCUGGGCAAUAAAAGCGAAACUCCAUCUCAAAAAAAAACAGCAAAACAAAAAACAACAACAACAAAAAUUAGUC